AAAAAAAAGGAGAGAAAACCCUAAAAAAUCGGCGGUGGAAUUCUCCGAGUAUCUGAGACUGAAGCGACUGAGAAGCGUAGACGCAAAUGGAAAUGACAAAGGACUUAUUGAGGGUAAAAGAGACAGAAGGGAGAGGGAGGGCGUUGGUGGCGGCUCAGCCACUGAGGGGCGGUCAAAUCGUUCUCAGAGACUCUCCAAUCCUCCUAUACUCUGCUCUUCCUCUCAUCUCUCCUUCUCUUCACCCUUACUGCAACCACUGCUUCAAAACCCUAAAGCAACCUCAACCUCAAGCUGCUGGUUCUUCAGCUUGUGUAUGUCCAUGGUGUUCACACCAUGCCUUCUGCAGUUCCAAUUGCCUCUCCUCUGCUCUCUCUUAUUCCCACUCUCCUUGGGUCUGCCAAGCCCUUUGCCGCCUCCGCGACUCCCCUUCCCCUCUCUCCGACCAACCGCUGGAGCGUCAGGUCCAGGCCCGCUUCCUCAUCGCUGCCUACAACCUCGCAAUCGUUUCCCCGUCCAAUUUCCAGAUGCUCUUGUCUCUCCAGGGCCAGCCAGACGACUCGGCCGCCUCCGACACCACCGCGGCUGCCCACUUUCUGCAUUGUCUCAUCUCUUCCCUCUGCGCUCCUCCUCCAUCUCUCCAAGAGCAGCAGCUGUUUUCGGUGGAGCUCUCGGCGGCUCUGCUGGCCAAGGACAAGCUAAAUGCCUUCGGAUUAAUGGAGCCCUUCUCGGAAACUUCGCAGAGGUCCAGCAGAGCCUACGCCAUUUAUCCAAAGGCUUCGUUCUUCAACCACGAUUGUCUCCCCAAUGCCUGCAGAUUCGAUUAUGUCGACGCUGACGGCGACCGCAACACCGAUAUGGUGGUCAGGAUGAUCCAUGAUGUUCCGGCGGGAAGGGAGAUUUGCUUGAGCUAUUUUCCGGUGAACCAGAGUUAUUCUAGCCGGCAGAGGACUUUGGCGGAGGACUAUGGGUUUGCUUGUCAAUGUGAUCGCUGCAAGGUCGAAGCCAAUUGGUCUGAUAAUGAGGAAAACAUUGAGGGUGAGGAAGAAGCAGAGGGCAUGGACGAGGACCAAGACCAGGAAAUGGAAGCAGCCUCAGAAUCAGAACCAGAGUCAGGUAGUGACAUUGAAGAAGCCCAAGCCCAAGUGGAAUCUGAUUUCCCACACGCCUAUUUCUUCCUCAGUUUCAUGUGUAAUAGAACCAAUUGCUGGGGCACUCUGGCCCCUUUGCCCCCCAAAGAUGAUGGAACUCCGUCUAAUGUCAUGGAAUGCAAUGUCUGUGGCAACCUGAAGAAAGAUGAAGAGAUCAAUGGUCAUGGUCAUGAUGGGCUCUCAAUCGAUGGCUAAAUUAACUGCUCUCUUGGUUGCUUGCUGGCUUUCUAAGCAUUUGGCGAAACAAUGGGUGUCAAUCGCCAACAGCAAUCAUUCAAAGUGUGUGCCCCGAUUACGUGGCGGGAUCAUAUGCUUUAGGCGGAUUUGUCAAAUAUAAAAGCAGAGACAGAGAGAGAGAGAGAGAGGCAGCGGAGCAAAAGAGAAACCAGAAGAAAGGAAGGAGAAGGUCAUCCAGCGAUUUGGGGAGCAUUUACAAGUAAGUGCUGCAGGGUGCCUUCCCCCCCUCCCCCACAGGCUGCCUAGAACUAACGCAGGAAAACAACAGACAAAAUUAUUGAAUUUUGUUUAUUCAGAAGGCGGAUAAAGAAGAUAAGGUGAUUAUUAUUCAUCUCUGGUGCCCACACAAUUCAGGGUAGGGACGAGAGAGGGAGAUAUGGCUGUGUAUGAACCUAUUAAAA